UACGGGGGGGGCGAGCGUUAUUCGAAAUGAUUGGGCGUAAAGGGCACGUAGACGGUUUUUUAAGUGGACAUCUUCUCUUUUUUGUUCUCUAAGGAUAAAAAAGAAAGGAUUAUGGAAAUCUUUCUGUACUCGGGAAAAAGACCAAGGCUCAACCAUGGUGUUUCCCACCAAACUAAAAAACUAGAGUAAGUUAGAGGAAAGUGGAAUUCCUGGAGGAAAGGUUAAAUUUUAUGAUAUCAGGAGGAACGCCCAAAGCGUAGGCAACUUUCUACUGCUUAACUGACGUUGAGGUGCGAAAGCAUGGGGAUCAAAGGGGAUUAGAUACCCCUGGUAGUCCAUGCCGUCAACUAUGAGAAUUCACUCUUAGAGCACUGCCGAUUGAUGUGAGAAAAAAUCAUCGUUCAGCAGUUCGUUUUAGGGGUUCUAGCUAACGCGUUAAAUUCUCCGCCUGAGGAGUACGACCGCAAGGUUAAAACUCAAAGGAAUAGACGGGGGCUCACACAAGUGGUGGAACAUGUGGUUUAAUUCGACACAACGCGCAAAACCUUACCAGCCCUUGACAUAAGCUUGAAUACAUCUUUUAUCCGGAUCAAUUCAUACCAGUUUACAGGCGUUGCAUGGCUGUCGUCAGCUCGUGUCGUGAAACCCAUAUAUACAUAAUAAUCGGACCUAGAAGGAGCGAAUCCUUAAAGUAAAAUCC
rnacentral:rRNA from 1 species